rnacentral:rRNA from 1 species
UACGGAGGAUGCAAGCGUUAUCCGGAUUUAUUGGGUUUAAAGGGUGCGCAGGCGGAAUGAUAAGUCAGUGGUGAAAUCCUACGGCUCAACUGUAGAACUGCCAUUGAUACUGUUGUUCUUGAGUACAUUUGUAGUGGGCGGAAUGUGUCAUGUAGCGGUGAAAUGCUUAGAGAUGACACAGAACACCGAUCGCGAAGGCAGCUCACUAAGCUGUAACUGACGCUCAGGCACGAAAGCGUGGGGAUCAAACAGG